rnacentral:rRNA from 1 species
GACGAACGCUGGCGGCGUGCUUAACACAUGCAAGUCGAACGGUAAGGCCCUUCGGGGUACACGAGUGGCGAACGGGUGAGUAACACGUGGGUGAUCUGCCCUGCACUUCGGGAUAAGCCUGGGAAACUGGGUCUAAUACCGGAUAGGACUCCUGGCUUCAUGGUUGGGGGUGGAAAGCUUUUGCGGUGUGGGAUGGGCCCGCGGCCUAUCAGCUUGUUGGUGGGGUAAUGGCCUACCAAGGCGACGACGGGUAGCCGGCCUGAGAGGGUGACCGGUCACACUGGGACUGAGGUACGGCCCAGACUCCUACGGGAGGCAGCAGUGGGGAAUAUUGCACAAUGGGCGCAAGCCUGAUGCAGCGACGCCGCGUGAGGGAUGACGGCCUUCGGGUUGUAAACCUCUUUCAGUAGGGACGAAGCGCAAGUGACGGUACCUACAGAAGAAGGACCGGCCAACUACGUGCCAGCAGCCGCAGUAA